GCCCCAGGAGGAAACGGGAACUGUUAGCAGCAUAGGAUUGAGGAGCUGAAACAGACUUUUAGAACAGCUGGUCAUUAUGCCAACCAGGUGUCCACACUAAGUUUGGCACCAAUAUGGUGACCUUCUGGGAGCAGGGGACCACCAGGUUAGGUUGCCUAAGGGUGGGUGAACUGGCCCAGGUCAGAAAUGGAGCAGGUCGGAACUCCCAUGCCUAUUGGUAGUGGGACUGCACCUGGGCAACAUAGCAAGAUCUUGGCUCUUUAA
ensembl:misc_RNA RN7SL176P RNA, 7SL, cytoplasmic 176, pseudogene